rnacentral:rRNA from 1 species
CCUACGGGAGGCAGCAGUGAGGAAUAUUGGUCAAUGGCCGAAAGGCUGAACCAGCCAAGCCGCGUGAAGGACGAAGGUUCCAAGCAUUGUAAACUUCUUUUGUCAAGGGACAAAAUCAGGCUCGAGAGCCUGACCGAGGGUACUUGAAGAAAAAGCAUCGGCUAACUCCGGGCCAGCAGCCGCGGUAAUACGGAGGAGACGAGCGUUACCCGGAUUGAUUGGGAUAAGAGUGUGCGUAGGGGGGCUGUUAAGUCAGCGGUAAAAGCCCGGGGCUCAACCCGGGAGAGCGGUUGAAACUGGGUGUCUUGAGAAGUCGAGAGGGAUGCGGAAUGCGCAGUGUAGCGGUGAAAUGCUUAGAUAUUGCGAAGAACUCCGAUUGCGAAGGCAGCAUACCGGAGGAGAUCUGACGCUGAGGCACGAAAGCGUGGGUAUCGAACAGGAUUAGAUACCCUAGUAGUC